AUUGAACGCUGGCGGCAGGCCUAACACAUGCAAGUCGAACGAGUGGCGGACGGGUGAGUAAUGUGUGGGAAACUGCCUGAUGGAGGGGGAUAACUACUGGAAACGGUAGCUAAUACCGCAUACCAUCGGAUGUGCCCAGAUGGGAUUAGCUAGUAGGUGGGGUAAAGGCUCACCUGGGCGAGGAUCCCUAGCUGGUCUGAGGGGAUGAGCAGCGACACGGGAACGGAGACACGGUCCAGAGUCCUACGGGAGGGAGCAGUGGCGAAUAUGGGACAAUGGGCGCAAGUCUGAUGCAGCCAUGCCGCGUGUAUGAAGAAGGCCUUCGGGUUGUAAAGUACUGUCAGCGGGGAGGCGUUACCCGCAGAAGAAGCACCGGCUAACUCCGUGCCAGCAGCCGCGGUAAUAC
rnacentral:rRNA from 1 species